UAGCCAUGCUGGAGGUGAAGCAAAGCCUGAUCUGUGGAAACCUGGGAAUGGCAGUGCAGCAGCUGCUCAGGUGCCACCUGUGUGACACUGUCAGGACUCCUCCAAACUGCCAGCAAGGGAGAGGAGGAGCAGUUUGCAUAGCCUGAGGUAAUGAUGCCUUUGGUGCAGAGAGGAUGGGAGCUGGGAUGUACUUUAGGGUAGAGUCAGCUCAAUAAUUCAUGCUGUGAAGAAGCUGGGAAGGUGGAAAACAUCCCCUUACCUUGGUGAAGAAUGAAAAGAUUAAGGUGACAGCAUUUCCUGUGCAAAGGACUGCCAAGUGCCAAGCUGCUCAUGAAUGCUGCUCCCCACCAUGGUGAGUGCAUUGCCCUGCUUGCAGGAGAUAUUUGUGGAUUUGGGGUUUUGUAUUGUGGGCUUUGUGCUUAUGUGAUCCUCUCCUUGCUUUCAAAUGCCAGGAUUUAGAGGUGAGUACCUCUGUUUUAUCAUGGUGCAGUGAGUUGCCAACUUCCUGAGGGGAAGGAGUUUGGUUUCUGUUCACAGACAUUCUCUUCUUUACUGCUUGUCUCAAACAAUUUUUGUUCCAGUGAGUAAAUGAGCAGUGAAACAAGUAAUGAGAGGAGUGAAGGUGCAAACAGAAUAGCAAGAACAAAGUUUAGAAAUCAUUCCAAACAAACCUACC